AAAAUGACUCUCGGCAACGGAUAUCUAGGCUCUUGCAUCGAUGAAGAACGUAGCGAAAUGCGAUACUUGGUGUGAAUUGCAGAAUCCCGUGAACCAUCGAGUCUUUGAACGCAAGUUGCGCCCGAAGCCAUUAGGUUGAGGGCACGUCUGCCUGGGUGUCACAGA
rnacentral:rRNA from 2 species